UUAAAGGUCCCAUAUUCAGCUUUUUCUGGUUUUAUAUGCUCUUUAGUGUGUUCUCCAAGUGUCCUGUGCAUGUUUAGGCACAUCUAUUUGCAAAAAUUCAAAGUCAGCGGAAACGCGGCUUCUCCUACGUCCUCCUGUUAGCUGUAGCAUUAGCCGCAUGUAACGCUCGGUUCUAGCCCCCCUCGAUAAAAAUUUGUCAGUCCGACAUCACUGAUCUAAGCCCAUUGGCUCGUUGUGGCAAGCCCAUCAGCUCAUGUUGCACGCCCAUUAACUUCUGUAGCACGCCCACGAUAUGCCGUAGCCUGCGGUAGCACAGUAGUGCUAAGGUGCUAACGUUUAUGCUCCCCUCGGAGCCAAAGUGGCUGCAUUCCCAAUAUGGUAAAAGGGGCGUGACAUUUCCGAGAACCGUGCUGAGCGACUGACCAAUUACGGCAGAGCCGACAGGCCGACCAAUCAGAUCAGACUUGGCACACGUGGGGACUCUGAACGUGGGCACUUCAGAGCCUUAGAGAGAGAGUCAGAAGAGAGCCGGUGCAUG